UUGGCGGUACUCUGACCGUGCAAAGGUAGCAUAAUCAUUUGCCUUAUAAUUGAAGGCUAGUAUGAAUGGUUUGACAAGAAUGAAGCUGUCUCUUUAUAAUUUAAUAGAAUUUUAUUUUCAGGUGAAGAAGCCUGAGCAAAAUUAAAAGACAAGAAGACCCUAUCGAGCUUAAAAGAAAUUAAUAGAAUUAAACUAAUUGAUAUUUAUAAAAAAUUGUCUAUUAAAACAUUUUAGUUGGGGCGACUGAGGAACAUAAAAAGCUUCCUUUAAAUAUAUUAGCAAGUCUAACUAGAAGUGAUCCAAAAUUGUUUUGAUUAAAGGAAUUAGUUACCGUAGGGAUAACAGCAUUAUCUUUUUUAAGAGCUCAUAUCGAAAAAAAGGUUUGUGACCUCGAUGUUGGACCAGAAUAUCCUAAAGGUGCAGCAGUCUUUAAGGGUUGGUCUGUUCGACCAUUAAAAUUCCUACGUGAA
rnacentral:rRNA from 1 species